AAGUGACGCCAUCCCUGGUGCCCGGCAGGGGACAGGACUUGCCUGGCGGUUGCGUCACAUCCUGUUUCCGCGCGCGGGGUGAUCUCUGUUUGUGUGGCAGACCGUGCAGUCCCGGCUCCCAUAAGCCAUGUUCUAUUCUGUGAUUAUAAGAUGUACAGGCAGCAAGACUAUGUCAUUCAUAUGUGAUAUUACAUAAAAGAUAACAACAAUAAUAAUCAUUACAGAAGAAGAGAGAAGGUCAAAGCUAGUGAUAAGGCAAUAUAAUGUAACAUGUACAAUUACCACCAAAAUUUGUCCAGACAUCUGAUGUAUAGAAUUAUCAUCGAACAAUAAGAAGCAGUUUGUGACUUCUAUAUACAAGUGUCGUAUAAUGAUAAUAAAGCGCGAACAAACAA